rnacentral:rRNA from 1 species
GAUGAACGCUGGCGGCGUGCCUAAUACAUGCAAGUCGAGCGAACAGACGAGGAGCUUGCUCCUCUGACGUUAGCGGCGGAUGGGUGAGUAACACGUGGAUAACCUACCUAUAAGACUGGGAUAACUUCGGGAAUCCGACGCAAUAACCGGAUACUCUUUUUAACCGCUUGUUUAAAUAGUUUACGACGUUUUUGCUGCCCCUUAUCGAUGGACCUGUGCGGCUUUUGCUGGUUGGUAAGGUAACGGCUUACUAGCCGAACUAUGCGUAGCCGCCCUGAAAGGGUGAUCGGCCACACGAGAACGGGGACACGGUCCAGGCGCCUACGAUAGGGAGCAGAAUGGAAUCUGCCGCAAUGGGCGAAAGCCUGGCAGAGCGACGGCGCGUGAGUUGUGAAGAUCUUCGGAUCGUAAAACUCGGUUAUGAGGGAAGAACAAAUUUGUAAGUAACUAAACACGUCUUGACGGUACCUAAACAGAAAGCCACGGCUAACUACGUG